rnacentral:rRNA from 1 species
UACGUAGGGGGCAAGCGUUAUCCGGAAUCAUUGGGCGUAAAGCGAGCGUAGGCGGCCCGAUAAGUCUGCUGUAAAAGUCAACGGCUCAACCGUUGAAAGCCGGUGGAUACUGUCGGGCUAGAGUUCGGAAGAGGCAAGUGGAAUUCCUGGUGUAGCGGUGGAAUGCGCAGAUAUCAGGAGGAACACCGAUAGCGAAGGCAGCUUGCUGGGACGAAACUGACGCUAAGGCUCGAAAGCGUGGGGAGCGAACAGG